CGUGUGCGUCUGCUGCUGGAUGCGCUUGAUCGUGGCGCCCUUGGGCCCCACCACGAGCCCCACCACGCGGUAAGGCACCCGCA
ensembl:miRNA